AUCGAACGCUGGCGGCAGGCCUAACACAUGCAAGUCGAACGAGUGGCGGACGGGUGAGUAAUGUCUGGGACACUGCCCUAUGGAGGGGGAUAACUACUGGAAACGGUAGCUAAUACCGCAUACCAUCGGAUGUGCCCAGAUGGGAUUAGCUAGUAGGUGGGGUAACGGCUCACCUAGGCGACGAUCCCUAGCUGGUCUGAGAGGGUAACCGGCCAAACUGGAACUGAGACACGGGCCAGACUCCUACGGGAGGCAGCAGUGGGGAAUAUUGCGCAAGGGGCGCAAGCCUGAUGCAGCAAGGCCGCGUGUAUGAAGAAGGCCUUCGGGUUGUAAAGUACUUUCAGCGAGGAAGCGUUACCCGCAGAAGAAGCACCGGCUAACUCCGUGCCAGCAGCCGCGGUAAUAC
rnacentral:rRNA from 1 species